rnacentral:rRNA from 1 species
AUUGAACGCUGGCGGCAGGCCUAACACAUGCAAGUCGAACGAGUGGCGGACGGGUGAGUAAUGUCUGGGAAACUGACUGAUGGAGGGGGAUAACUACUGGAAACGGUAGCUAAUACCGCAUACCCUCGGAUGUGCCCAGAUGGGAUUAGCUAGUAGGUUGGGUAACGGCUCACCUAGGCGACGAUCCCUAGCUGGUCUGAGAGGAUGACCGGCCACACUGGAAGUGGGACACGGUCCAGACUCCGAAGGGGGGCAGCAGUGGGGAAUAUUGCACAAUGGGCGCAAGCCUGAUGCAGCCAUGCCGCGUGUAUGAAGAAGGCCUUCGGGUUGUAAAGUACUUUCAGCGGGGAAGCGUUACCCGCAGAAGAAGCAACGACUAACUCCGUGCCAGCCGCCGCGGUAAUAC